rnacentral:rRNA from 1 species
CACGUAGGGCGCGAGCGUUGUCCGGAAUUAUUGGGCGUAAAGAGCUCGUAGGCGGCCUGUUGCGUCCGCUGUGAAAGCCCGGGGCUUAACCCCGGGUCGGCAGUGGAUACGGGCAGGCUAGAGGUAGGUAGGGGAGAAUGGAAUUCCCGGUGUAGCGGUGAAAUGCGUAGAUAUCAGGAGGAACACCGGUGGCGAAGGCAGAUCUCUGGGCCGUAACUGACGCUGAGGAGCGAAAGCAUGGGGAGCGAACAGG